rnacentral:rRNA from 1 species
AAUAUUGCACAAUGGAGGGAACUCUGAUGCAGCAACGCCGCGUGAGCGAAGAAGGUAUCAGGAUCGUAACACCCUGUCAUUGGGGAAACAUAAAUGACGGUACCCACUGAGGAAGCCCCGGCAGCCUACGUCCCAGCAGCCGCGGUAAUACGUAGGGGGCGAGCGUUGUCCGGAAUUACUGAGCGUAAAGGGUACGUAGGCGGCUAUAUAAGUCAGGUGUGAAAUACCAGUGCUUAACACUGGAAUUGCAUUUGAAACUGUGUAGCUUGAGUGCAGGAGAGGAAAGUGGAAUUCCUAGUGUAGCGGUGAAAUGCGUAGAGAUUAGGAGGAACACCAGUGGCGAAGGCGACUUUCUGGACUGUAACUGACGCUGAGGUACGAAAGCGUGGGUAGCGAACA